UAAUUUUAGUUGAUGAUAAAUCGAAUCCUUAUCAGAGACAAUAUUGUGUUGAAAUCUCAACAUGCAUCACCAUCUGAAAAUAUGU